CCUACGGGAGGCUGCAGUGAGGAAUAUUGGUCAAUGGGCGCGAGCCUGAACCAGCCAAGUCGCGUGAGGGAGGACGGCCCUACGGGUUGUAAACCUCUUUUGCCGGGGAGCAACGGGCGUCACGUGUGGCGCCCCUGAGAGUACCCGGAGACAAAGCAUCGGCCAACUCCGUCCCAGCAGCCGCGGUAAUACGGAGGAUGCGAGCGUUCUCCGGAUUUAUUGGGGUUAAAGGGUGCGUAGGCGGAUCGUUAAGUCAGUGGUCAAAUUGAGGGGCUCAACCCGUGCCCGCCAUUGAAACUGGCGCUAUUGAGUGGAAGAGAAGUAGGCGGAAUGCGUGGUGUAGCGGUGAAAUGCAUAGAUAUCACGCAGAACCCCGAUUGCGAAGGCAGCAUGCCGGAUUCCGACUGACGCUGAAGCACGAAAGCGUGGGGAUCGAACAGGAUUAGAUACCCGGGUAGUC
rnacentral:rRNA from 1 species